ncrna:unclassified sequences RT-3 RNA
UAUCGCUCCAAUAGCAUAUUGUCACGUGAUGACAAAUAGUCGUAAGCGAAGAAUCCGAGCCUCAGCAAAAGCACCUUUUAAAGGUUGGAAAGCUGAAACAUAACAAUGCAGGUAGAGACUGGUAGGUUAUUUCUCGAACGUCUUAGACCUG